UGUAGCUCUCUCUGGUUCAGAGAAAAGUGCUGCGCUUUUCCAGAGUUGAGAGAUCUGAUUUCAUAGAUUUUUAAGACCAGAAGAAAACAGAAUGUUCAUCUGUUCUGUGAUGAAAUACUAUCCCUCUAAGCACCAGGCACAGAUAUUACCCUGACUUUGAGGCUUAUAAAGUUGAGUUUAUUCAGCUUAUUAUUUAAGUUAUUUUCAUAUCUGCUUCCCUACCAACAGAAAAAAUUCUCAAGUCAAAACUAUUUUUUCAUUUCAUAUUGCCUUAUCAAUAUGUUUGGUUUUGGGGUGACAGGAAAUGUAACUCGGAUUCUUGUAUUUAUAAAUAUUCAUAGAGGUGAGAGGAUUAAGCAGUUAGAGUAUUGUUUGAAAGAAAAUUUAGAUCCCCUUUGCAAACACCAUCAUGGUGAUAGAAAAUCAUUCUUUUCCCUGUAAUAAUCUACUUUAAAAACAUCCUCUUUGCAUUACUUCCAGCUAUCAGAAUCAGCCAGUAAAGUAUAGCCUGAAUUCUGAUAAAGGGCAAUUGCAGUAAAUGGAGAAACAAGCAUAAAUUAUAUCAGCAGUGAGCCCAAGAAAGAACUGCAGAGAUAAGAGAAGAUGAGCUUUUUGAAUCAUUUAUUUCACCUUAAAUUCUACUUGUAAUAAAAUAAAAACAAUUAAUUAUAAAUAAUCAUGUUUAUAAAGAACAAGUAAUUUCUAUGCCUUGUCCUUCCAUCCUUAUUGAAAGUUCCCACCAGCCAGGGGCAGCAGUUGACUUCACACCAUUUCAUCCACUGGACACAUCGCUGGAUCUAUCUCAUGUGACUUUGGACCCCAUUCAAUUCCUAAAGUUCAGCUGUGUGUAUCAGGAAUAUCCCAUCCUCUCUGCAAGCAGUCUUAUUUGAGGCUAUUGAACUGUCUUCACAAACAAGGAUCUGCACAGUCACAUUGUGUACCCACUGAGAAAGCUCAUAUGGACAGCAGGGAAGUCACUGCACUCCCCAGAGCACAGUUCUCCCAGGAGUCUCGUGUCUAGGAGAAGUUGUUUUAUGAAAGAAGAGCAAAUUUUACCAUUAAAAUAAUAUAAAAUAUUAACAUUAAAUAAAAACAUCUAUAAGCUGU